rnacentral:sRNA from 1 species
CCGGAGUUUUGUUGGCUCAAG